GAAGGACUGUAGCUCAGUGGCAGAGCAUCUGGUCCAGAAGGUCCCAGGUUCAGUCUCUAGCAUCUUCA